rnacentral:rRNA from 1 species
AUACAGGGGGAUAACACUUAGAAAUAGGUGCUAAUACCGCAUAAGCGCACGGUUCCGCAUGGAACAGUGUGAAAAACUUCGGUGGUAUACGAUGGAUCCGCGUCUGAUUAGCCAGUUGGCGGGGUAACGGCCCACCAAAGCGACGAUCAGUAGCCGGCCUGAGAGGGUGAACGGCCACAUUGGGACUGAGACACGGCCCAAACUCCUACGGGAGGCAGCAGUGGGGAAUAUUGCACAAUGGGGGAAACCCUGAUGCAGCGACGCCGCGUGAGUGAAGAAGUAUUUCGGUACGUAAAGCUCUAUCAGCAGGGAAGAAAAGAAGUCCUUUGGAUUUUGGACGGUACCUGACCAAGAAGCCCCGGCUAACUACGUGCCAGCAGCCGCGGUAAUACGUAGGGGGCAAGCGUUAUCCGGAUUUACUGGGUGUAAAGGGAGCGUAGACGGCAGCGCAAGUCUGGAGUGAAAUGCCGGGGCCCAACCCCGGAACUGCUUUGGAAACUGUGCAGCUCGAGUGCAGGAGAGGUAAGCGGAAUUCCUAGUGUAGCGGUGAAAUGCGUAGAUAUUAGGAGGAACACCAGUGGCGAAGGCGGCUUACUGGACUGUAACUGACGUUGAGGCUCGAAAGCGUGGGGAGCAAACAGGAUUAGAUACCCUGGUAGUCCACGCCGUAAACGAUGAUUACUAGGUGUCGGGGAGCCAAGGCUCUCCGGUGCCGCCGCAAACGCAU